rnacentral:rRNA from 1 species
ACUAAUGUUGAAAAAUUAGCGGAUGACUUGUGGCUGGGGGUGAAAGGCCAAUCAAACCGGGAGAUAGCUGGUUCUCCCCGAAAGCUAUUUAGGUAGCGCCUCGUGAAUUCAUCUCCGGGGGUAGAGCACUGUUUCGGCAAGGGGGUCAUCCCGACUUACCAACCCGAUGCAAACUGCGAAUACCGGAGAAUGUUAUCACGGGAGACACACGGCGGGUGCUAACGUCCGUCGUGAAGAGGGAAACAACCCAGACCGCCAGCUAAGGUCCCAAAGUCAUGGUUAAGUGGGAAACGAUGUGGGAAGGCCCAGACAGCCAGGAUGUUGGCUUAGAAGCAGCCAUCAUUUAAAGAAAGCGUAAUAGCUCACUGGUCGAGUCGGCCUGCGCGGAAGAUGUAACGGGGCUAAACCAUGCACCGAAGCUGCGGCAGCGACACUAUGUGUUGUUGGGUAGGGGAGCGUUCUGUAAGCCUGUGAAGGUGUACUGUGAGGUAUGCUGGAGGUAUCAGAAGUGCGAAUGCUGACAUAAGUAACGAUAAAGCGGGUGAAAAGCCCGCUCGCCGGAAGACCAAGGGUUCCUGUCCAACGUUAAUCGGGGCAGGGUGAGUCGACCCCUAAGGCGAGGCCGAAAGGCGUAGUCGAUGGGAAACAGGUUAAUAUUCCUGUACUUGGUGUUACUGCGAAGGGGGGACGGAGAAGGCUAUGUUGGCCGGGCGACGGUUGUCCCGGUUUAAGCGUGUAGGCUGGUUUUCCAGGCAAAUCCGGAAAAUCAAGGCUGAGGCGUGAUGACGAGGCACUACGGUGCUGAAGCAACAAAUGCCCUGCUUCCAGGAAAAGCCUCUAAGCAUCAGGUAACAUCAAAUCGUACCCCAAACCGACACAGGUGGUCAGGUAGAGAAUACCAAGGCGCUUGAGAGAACUCGGGUGAAGGAACUAGGCAAAAUGGUGCCGUAACUUCGGGAGAAGGCACGCUGAUAUGUAGGUGAAGCGACUUGCUCGUGGAGCUGAAAUCAGUCGAAGAUACCAGCUGGCUGCAACUGUUUAUUAAAAACACAGCACUGUGCAAACACGAAAGUGGACGUAUACGGUGUGACGCCUGCCCGGUGCCGGAA